UUGAAGUUGGCCUUACUGGCAAGGCAUAGUUUUUCCGAGUGCUCCUCUGUAAUGCUGGGCCCAAAACAGCACAGAGAUCCAACAGGACAGCUCGAUGAAGUCGGAACUGGCUCUGAGGCCACU